GUGCUCACCUGGGCAGCACACAUGCGCAGAUGGGAAUGACACCAAGAAGGCUGGCAUGGCCCCUGCACAGGGGUGACUUGCAAAUUCAAGAAUGUUCCGUAUUUUUU